CAACCCUCGUCCCCCCCUUGGGGGGGGCGGUGUUGGGGAUGGGCCUGCCCUAGGGCCGGCCCGCCCCUAAAUGUAGUGGCGACCACGCCGUAGCCUCCUCUGCGUAGUAGUAACUCACCUCGCGGGCGGAGAGCGGUGCGGUCCGCCGUAAAACCCCCUACUUUCUCAA
rnacentral:misc_RNA from 1 species